rnacentral:piRNA from 1 species
UGUAAAACUGGAUCAUGUCAGAAGUGCUUA